UACAGUUUCUCGAAAGAGAAAAGAGGAAAUCCAGUAAAAACUGGAGUGGGCCCGCCGCUGUAAUCAGGAACGAACGCCGCAAAUAACCACUGUUCAGUCAAAUGGAUGGGAAGGAGCGGCAAGUAGGAUGAUCUGAGAGCCAGAAGACCUAUCUGUA
rnacentral:ncRNA from 1 species